rnacentral:rRNA from 2 species
GAUGCGACCUCAGCUCAGGCGGGGCUACCCGCUGAGUUUAAGCAUAUCAAUAAGCGGAGGAAAAGAACUA